UACGGAGGGUGCAAACGUUGCUCGGAAUCAUUGGGCGUAAAGCGCACGUAGGCGGCUCGUUAAGUCGGAUGUGAAAGCCCUCGGCUCAACCGAGGAAGUGCAUCCGAAACUGGCGAGCUUGAGUACGGAAGAGGGUCUCGGAAUUCCCGGUGUAGAGGUGAAAUUCGUAGAUAUCGGGAGGAACACCAGUGGCGAAGGCGGAGACCUGGGCCGAUACUGACGCUGAGGUGCGAAAGCGUGGGGAGCAAACAGG
rnacentral:rRNA from 1 species